GAUGAACGCUGGCGGCGUGCCUAAUACAUGCAAGUCGAGCGAACAGACGAGGAGCUUGCUCCUCUGACGUUAGCGGCGGACGGGUGAGUAACACGUGUAUAACCUACCUAUAAGACUGGGAUAACUUCGGGAAACCGGAGCUAAUACCGGAUAAUAUAUUGAACCGCAUGGUUCAAUAGUGAAAGACGGUUUUGCUGUCACUUAUAGAUGGAUCCGCGCCGCAUUAGCUAGUUGGUACGGUAACGGCUUACCAAGGCAACGAUGCGUAGCCGACCUGAGAGGGUGAUCGGCCACACUGGAACUGAGCCACGGUCAAGACUCCUACGGGAGGCAGCAGUAGGGAAUCUUCCGCAAUGGGCGAAAGCCUGACGGAGCAACGCCGCGUGAGUGAUGAAGGUCUUCGGAGCGUAAAGCUCUGUUAUUAGGGAAGAACAAAUGUGUAAGUAACUAUGCACGUCUUGACGGUACCUAAUCAGAAAGCCACGGCUAACUACGUG
rnacentral:rRNA from 1 species